GCGAGGCCGACAUGCGUAGUCGAUGGGUAACCAGUUGAUAUUCUGGUACCGGCUUGUCACCGUCCGUGUCGAGGUGUGUGAUGCUAAGCAUGUGAGCUUGUCUUGGGAGUGUUUUUGAUGCUUCUGGGGUGGGUGAGUGUGUGAACCGAUCAUGUAGUAGGCAAGCUGCGGAGGGACGCAGUGAGGUAGCUCAUCCCCGGUGAUGGUUGUCCGGGGCUAAGUGUGUGGACUGUCUGGUAGGUAAAUCCGCUGGGCGUGAAGGUUGAGGCAUGAUGGGGAGCCCACGGUUGUGGGUGAGUGAGUGAUCCUGUACUGUCGAGAAAAGCUUCGUGAGCGAGGUGGCGGGUCCGCCCGUACCCUAAACCGACACUGGUGGAUAGGUAGAGUAUACCGAGGCGAUCGAGUGAAUCGUGGUGAAGGAACUCGGCAAAAUGCCCCCGUAACUUUGGGAUAAGGGGGACCUGA
rnacentral:rRNA from 1 species